CAUAGACUAAUGAAAUUUUACAUCGGCUUAUUAAAAAAUACAUCAGUUAACGAAAAUAAAUCGUGGUCUUCCGAAAAAAAGUUAGACUAACGUGUAUACAGAGCACGCUGUAUUUUCGUUUGUUGUGUUCAUUUGUGGUAGUCCCAGUGUAUAUUCAACCCCCAAAGUGCGAAGAUCUAUCACGCGGAAAUAUAAAAUACAAAAAAUAUUGUGCGCUGAAAAAAUUUAAAAUAAUUACCUAUGUAUUAGAAAAGAAACAACAAACAGAAACAAACAAUAAGAAAAAUAAGUGGUGUUUAGCUGGUACUUGGACCAUUUACUCGAGAAUUAUACAGAAAAAAGGUUUUUGUCACCGUUCUCAAGAGUGGAAGAGUGGAUGAACGAUGAGAUAAUUCCAAAGAUGUCAUCCUAAUGCACUUUAUACAUGGUACUGGUUCUAAAGGACAAUUACAUAUAAAAGUCCCAUGAAGCUUUCUUAUAUACGUGGAACACCUCAAAAGCCGAUCAUCAAGCCAACCAUUCGUGAUCGACAUCAAAUCCCUGAUAAAACUCUUCAUAUCGCCGGUAUAAAGUAUUCGUUUACCUCAUUCCUUAGAGAACUUUAAAGUUUUUAAUGUAAUUAAUUUAAUUUUUGU